GACGAACGCUGGCGGCGUGCUUAACACAUGCAAGUCGAACGGAAAGGCCCUGCUUUUGUGGGGUUCUCGAGUGGCGAACGGGUGAGUAACACGUGAGUAACCUGCCCUUGACUUUGGGAUAACUUCAGGAAACUGGGGCUAAUACCGGAUAGGAGCUCCUGCUGCAUUGUGGGGGUUGGAAAUUUUCGGCGGUUGGGGAUGGACUCGCGGCUUAUCAGCUUGUUGGUGGGGUAGUGGCUUACCAAGGCAUUGACGGGUAGCCGGCCUGAGAGGGUGGCCGGGGACAAGAGGACUGAGGUACGGCCCAGACUCCAACGGGAGGCAGCAGUGGGGAAUAUUGCACAGUGAGCGGAAGCCUGAUGAGGAAGCGCCGCGUGCGGGAUGACGGCCUUCGGGUUGUAAACAGCAUUCGCCUGUGACGAAGCGGGAGUGACGGUAAUGGGUAAAGAAGCACCGGCUAACUACGUG
rnacentral:rRNA from 1 species